rnacentral:rRNA from 1 species
UGAGCGACCUACCUAAAUUGUGGGGGAUAGCCGGCCCAACGGCCGGGUAAUACCGCAUACGAUCGGAGUGGGGCAUCCCUAUCUAAGGAAAGCCUUCGGGCGCAAUUUGAGGGGCUCGCGGCCUAUCAGCUAGUUGGCGGGGUAACGGCCCACCAAGGCGACGACGGGUAGCUGGUCUGAGAGGAUGGCCAGCCACAUUGGGACUGAGAUACGGCCCAGACUCCUACGGGAGGCAG